AGCUGGAGCGGAAGGGAGUGGGGCUUUGUGAAUCCCAGAUUCGGCUGAACGUUCAAGGCAGAGGGAAAGGCAGACACAGAGCAGGAAAGACGUACAUUGCUACUCAGAAAUGAUACACUUGGUGCCGCCAUCAUCCUUAGUAACAAAAGGUGAGCCAUUAAAGGGGAAAAAUGUUGACCUACAGCUGUGUGCUCUGCUCUUCUGUGCCAUUAGUGUACCGAAUAUCUUACCAGACUUAUUCUUCUGCACAAUGUGAAGGGAACUUCAUCCUGAAGCUAGAAAACAAGAGACAAAAAAUCCUGACGGCUGCUUCAGGAGGAGCAGGAACAGGCUUUCUGCCAACUACUAAAUAAAAGUUAACGCAUAGACUGGAUCCAUUGGCUGAAGGAUUGUGCUACAUGCUGGAUCAUUAUACCAGAUGGGUCAUUACUAAACCACCUGCUGUGGGUAUUUCAUUAUGGCAAGCUUUAUACUUCAGUUAAAAAAAUUACAUGAGAGCACAAAACUGGCUCUAAGUGGCAUUACUUACAUUUACAUCUGUGUGGUGAAUUAAAACACAGAGCGCUGGAAGGAUCUAAGGAGGGA